GACGAACGCUGGCGGCGUGCUUAACACAUGCAAGUCGUACGGUAAGGCCCUUUCGGGGGUCCACGAGUGGCACACGGGUGAGUAACACGUGAGUAACCUGCCCACAACUUUGGGAUAACGCUAGGAAACUGGUGCUAAUACUGGAUAUGUGCUCCUGCUGCAUGGUGGGGGUUGGAAAGCUCCGGCGGUUGUGGAUGGACUCGCGGCCUAUCAGCUUGUUGGUGGGGUAGUGGCCUACCAAGGCGGCGACGGGUAGCCGGCCUGAGAGGGUGACCGGCCACAUUGGGACUGAGAUACGGCCCAGACUCCUACGGGAGGCAGCAGUGGGGAAUAUUGCACAAUGGGCGCAAGCCUGAUGCAGCAACGCCGCGGGCGGGAUGACGGCCUUCGGGUUGAAAACCGCUUUCAGCAGGGACGAAGCUUUUUGUGACGGUACCUGCAGAAGAAGCACCGGCUAACUACGUG
rnacentral:rRNA from 1 species